AAAAACAAAAUACUCUUUUAAUUCCUUCUAUUAAUUAUUGAUCAAACAAGCAAAGUGAACACGGGUGAGUUUCAGUACAACAGAGUUUGUGCUAUGAGCUUAACGAAUGUUAAGACAAUAGAACACUGAACCUUCUGUAAUCAAAGUGCUGCAACCAGGCAAAAGCAAGGGAACGUAAUACAAAAGCUAUGGAGGCUGUUCAUUUCCAUCGAAGGGCCUAUUUCGCACUGCUGAAGGGACAUUGGACAUGAUUGCUCCUAUAUCUUAAGGCGAGGCAUCACAGACAACCUUCACUGGACAAAGUGGAUCAUAAUGUGCCGUGAUGUAACCAGUCAAGAGCAUCUCUACCAUACAUCUGCAGAAGUUUGUCAAAGCUUCAGAUGUCCUGCGAAUUUCUGCAAAUUCCAAAGGGUGAAUUGAGGCAGUUGGCAAUUUGGCUGCCUUUCGAAUAUGCUAACAUCAAGAUAUAUGGUUGAACAAUAACCAUUCACCAAUGAUUUGAUGUCAAUAAACCCAAAGCUACAAGUACCAAUGAUC